CGGGUGUGGUAUAAUGGUAGCACGAAAGCUUCCCAAGCUUUAGACGAGGGUUCGAUUCCCUUCGCCCGC
rnacentral:tRNA from 1 species